rnacentral:lncRNA from 12 species
CAGGUUUUCAGGGAGACUGUUGUGCAGCGAUCUUUAACAGUCCACCAGGAAACAAAAGCAAGUUCCAGGACUGCAUCAGUGAGUGCUUUAGAGGAGCAACAAAAUGAUAAAAAAAAAAAAAAAAAAAAAAAAAAAAAAAGUUCACAACUUUUAAAAGACAUUCAAGCGUUUUGUAUGUAGUUGAAUUUAAAAGAGAUGUGUUAAUGUUUAGUGGCAAAAGAACCUAGACCUUUUUUGUUGUCAGGUAAAGGUCUGGCUAUGCAAGACUAGGUAGUUCCUAGUCUUGUGGUCCCGGAGAUCCCUAGCUUGGUGGUUACUGCUUUGGUGGUCCCGAGAGUUCUUAGGCCAGUGAAAGUCCUUACCUGUCUUUGGUGCUCCCUCUGAUAGCUACACACAUUUCUGCGAUGGACUCCUCUGGCUCCGGACCUUCCCCUGAGGUGGCAGCAUCUGCUCCAGCUUUCCCUGAGUUGGUGGAGUCCACAUCCAAGACACGACUGAAGUGGUCGUAACCGAGUUCUGUGACAUGACCAAGGUGUUCGUCCCUGAGUUCCCUGUCACAGCCAGAAAGAUUGUCUCUGAGUUCCCUGUGCUUCCUAUCAUAGCUCUGAUGUGGCCUCCACUUCAUGACCCUGGAUGGUGCUAAGCAAGGACAUGUCCAGUUGUGAAGAUGCAGAACAUGGUGUCCCAUGAGAAGCAUUAAUGGUCUCUAAAUUAGAGUGACACAUUAAAUGACAUUGACUCAUCCAAAAUUACCAUGAACUUGUUUUCAUCUCUCAAUGCCGAACAACCUUGAACGGUUUUAGCAUCUGACAGGAGUCUCAUUCAUCUUUUAAUUUGUUACUAUACAAGGUUAAUUUUGAAGCUAUUUUUCUACAUACAAAAUUGCUCUCUGGGGAUUUUCAAGCACUAGACAAAGAGGAAAUGGUGAAAGGAUGUCCACUCAAGCCAAUAUUCCAGCUGCGGCAAACUGUUACUAGUAGAAAGGUUUGACCCUGAAGCCUGUUUUUUGUAACAUGAAUAUCAUGGAUGUCAUGCUGUGA